rnacentral:rRNA from 1 species
UACGUAGGGGGCUAGCGUUGUCCGGGGUUAUUGGGCGUAAAGAGCGUGUAGGCGGCCUGGUAGGUCUGCUGUGAAAACUCGAGGCUCAACCUCGAGCUGUCGGCGGAAACCACUUGGCUAGAGUCCGGAAGAGGAGAGUGGAAUUCCUGGUGUAGCGGUGAAAUGCGCAGAUAUCAGGAAGAACACCUAUGGCGAGGGCAGCUCUCUGGGACGGUACUGACGCUGAGACGCGAAAGCGUGGGGAGCGAACAGG